GGUUAAGCGACUAAGCGUACACGGUGGAUGCCCUGGCAGUCAGAGGCGAUGAAGGACGUGCUAAUCUGCGAUAAGCGUCGGUAAGGUGAUAUGAACCGUUAUAACCGGCGAUUUCCGAAUGGGGAAACCCAGUGUGUUUCGACACACUAUCAUUAACUGAAUCCAUAGGUUAAUGAGGCGAACCGGGGGAACUGAAACAUCUAAGUACCCCGAGGAAAAGAAAUCAACCGAGAUUCCCCCAGUAGCGGCGAGCGAACGGGGAGCAGCCCAGAGCCUGAAUCAGUGUGUGUGUUAGUGGAAGCGUCUGGAAAGGCGCGCGAUACAGGGUGACAGCCCCGUACACAAAAAUGCACAUACUGUGAGCUCGAUGAGUAGGGCGGGACACGUGGUAUCCUGUCUGAAUAUGGGGGGACCAUCCUCCAAGGCUAAAUACUCCUGACUGACCGAUAGUGAACCAGUACCGUGAGGGAAAGGCGAAAAGAACCCCGGCGAGGGGAGUGAAAAAGAACCUGAAACCGUGUACGUACAAGCAGUGGGAGCACGCUUAGGCGUGUGACUGCGUACCUUUUGUAUAAUGGGUCAGCGACUUAUAUUCUGUAGCAAGGUUAACCGAAUAGGGGAGCCGAAGGGAAACCGAGUCUUAACUGGGCGUUAAGUUGCAGGGUAUAGACCCGAAACCCGGUGAUCUAGCCAUGGGCAGGUUGAAGGUUGGGUAACACUAACUGGAGGACCGAACCGACUAAUGUUGAAAAAUUAGCGGAUGACUUGUGGCUGGGGGUGAAAGGCCAAUCAAACCGGGAGAUAGCUGGUUCUCCCCGAAAGCUAUUUAGGUAGCGCCUCGUGAAUUCAUCUCCGGGGGUAGAGCACUGUUUCGGCAAGGGGGUCAUCCCGACUUACCAACCCGAUGCAAACUGCGAAUACCGGAGAAUGUUAUCACGGGAGACACACGGCGGGUGCUAACGUCCGUCGUGAAGAGGGAAACAACCCAGACCGCCAGCUAAGGUCCCAAAGUCAUGGUUAAGUGGGAAACGAUGUGGGAAGGCCCAGACAGCCAGGAUGUUGGCUUAGAAGCAGCCAUCAUUUAAAGAAAGCGUAAUAGCUCACUGGUCGAGUCGGCCUGCGCGGAAGAUGUAACGGGGCUAAACCAUGCACCGAAGCUGCGGCAGCGACGCUUAUGCGUUGUUGGGUAGGGGAGCGUUCUGUAAGCCUGCGAAGGUGUGCUGUGAGGCAUGCUGGAGGUAUCAGAAGUGCGAAUGCUGACAUAAGUAACGAUAAAGCGGGUGAAAAGCCCGCUCGCCGGAAGACCAAGGGUUCCUGUCCAACGUUAAUCGGGGCAGGGUGAGUCGACCCCUAAGGCGAGGCCGAAAGGCGUAGUCGAUGGGAAACAGGUUAAUAUUCCUGUACUUGGUGUUACUGCGAAGGGGGGACGGAGAAGGCUAUGUUGGCCGGGCGACGGUUGUCCCGGUUUAAGCGUGUAGGCUGGUUUUCCAGGCAAAUCCGGAAAAUCAAGGCUGAGGCGUGAUGACGAGGCACUACGGUGCUGAAGCAACAAAUGCCCUGCUUCCAGGAAAAGCCUCUAAGCAUCAGGUAACAUCAAAUCGUACCCCAAACCGACACAGGUGGUCAGGUAGAGAAUACCAAGGCGCUUGAGAGAACUCGGGUGAAGGAACUAGGCAAAAUGGUGCCGUAACUUCGGGAGAAGGCACGCUGAUAUGUAGGUGAGGUCCCUCGCGGAUGGAGCUGAAAUCAGUCGAAGAUACCAGCUGGCUGCAACUGUUUAUUAAAAACACAGCACUGUGCAAACACGAAAGUGGACGUAUACGGUGUGACGCCUGCCCGGUGCCGGAAGGUUAAUUGAUGGGGUUAGCGCAAGCGAAGCUCUUGAUCGAAGCCCCGGUAAACGGCGGCCGUAACUAUAACGGUCCUAAGGUAGCGAAAUUCCUUGUCGGGUAAGUUCCGACCUGCACGAAUGGCGUAAUGAUGGCCAGGCUGUCUCCACCCGAGACUCAGUGAAAUUGAACUCGCUGUGAAGAUGCAGUGUACCCGCGGCAAGACGGAAAGACCCCGUGAACCUUUACUAUAGCUUGACACUGAACAUUGAGCCUUGAUGUGUAGGAUAGGUGGGAGGCUUAGAAGUGUGGACGCCAGUCUGCAUGGAGCCGACCUUGAAAUACCACCCUUUAAUGUUUGAUGUUCUAACGUUGACCCGUAAUCCGGGUUGCGGACAGUGUCUGGUGGGUAGUUUGACUGGGGCGGUCUCCUCCUAAAGAGUAACGGAGGAGCACGAAGGUUGGCUAAUCCUGGUCGGACAUCAGGAGGUUAGUGCAAUGGCAUAAGCCAGCUUGACUGCGAGCGUGACGGCGCGAGCAGGUGCGAAAGCAGGUCAUAGUGAUCCGGUGGUUCUGAAUGGAAGGGCCAUCGCUCAACGGAUAAAAGGUACUCCGGGGAUAACAGGCUGAUACCGCCCAAGAGUUCAUAUCGACGGCGGUGUUUGGCACCUCGAUGUCGGCUCAUCACAUCCUGGGGCUGAAGUAGGUCCCAAGGGUAUGGCUGUUCGCCAUUUAAAGUGGUACGCGAGCUGGGUUUAGAACGUCGUGAGACAGUUCGGUCCCUAUCUGCCGUGGGCGCUGGAGAACUGAGGGGGGCUGCUCCUAGUACGAGAGGACCGGAGUGGACGCAUCACUGGUGUUCGGGUUGUCAUGCCAAUGGCACUGCCCGGUAGCUAAAUGCGGAAGAGAUAAGUGCUGAAAGCAUCUAAGCACGAAACUUGCCCCGAGAUGAGUUCUCCCUGACUCCUUGAGAGUCCUGAAGGAACGUUGAAGACGACGACGUUGAUAGGCCGGGUGUGUAAGCGCAGCGAUGCGUUGAGCUAACCGGUACUAAUGAACCGUGAGGCUUAACCUU
rnacentral:rRNA from 1 species